GUGAUCAGCCCUGAACACAGACCACUCACCAUGGAUCUGGAGCUAAGCUGGAUUUCCCUUGUUGCUAUUUUUAAAGGUGUCCAGUGUGAGGUACAGCUGGUGGGGUCUGGUGGAGGCUUGGUGCAGCCUGGAGGGGCUCUGAAACUCUCGUGUGCAGCCUCUGGAUUCAUCUUCAGUAGUUAUGGCAUGGGCUGGGUCUGUCAGGCUCUAGGAAAGGGGCUGGAGUGGGUUGCAACAAUUUACAUUGGUGGUAGCAUGUACUACCCAGACUCUGUGAAGGGCCGAUUCACCAUCUCCAGAGACAAAAACAAGAACCAGCUGUAUCUGCAAAUGAACAGCCUGAGAGCCGAGGACACAGCCGUGUAUUACUGUACAAGAGGCAUCAGUGAGGAGACUUCAGUGAGAUCCCUGACAUUACCCUCCCUGCAGUUCUAUUUAUUACCAGCAAGGGGUGGUCUUCACACAUUUAUCUCAGGAUCAGUUUUGUGCCAGGUGCUGCCAUGA